CGGUCUUGGUCAUUUAGAGGAAGUAAAAGUCGUAACAAGGUUUCCGUAGGUGAACGUGCGGAAGGAUCAUUAAAGAAUCGCCCCAUAAAAUUGAAAUGGGUUCUAUUCCUCAACCGUGUAUACAUACCUUUGUUGCUUUGGCACACCGCCUUCGGGCGUUGGCUUAGGCUGACUCGUGCUUGCCAGAGGACCCAAACUUGUUUGUUUAGUGAUGUCUGAGUACUCUAUAAUAGUUAAAACUUUCAACAACGGAUCUCUUGGUUCAGGCAUUGAUGAAGAACGCAGCGAAAUGCGAUAAGUAAUGUGAAUUGCAGAAUUCAGUGAAUCAUCGAAUCUUUGAACGCACAUUGCGCCCCUUGGUAUUCCGAGGGGCAUGCCUGUUCGAGCGUCAUUAUGACCACUCAAGCUUAGCUUGGUAUUGGGGCUUGGGCCUUUGCGGCACGUAAAUUUGGGAGGGGUGCCGCCGGUCUAUAUAAUCA
rnacentral:misc_RNA from 1 species